rnacentral:rRNA from 1 species
CUCCCAAACCCCUGUGAACAUACCACUUGUUGCCUCGGCGGAUCAGCCCGCUCCCGGUAAAACGGGACGGCCCGCCAGAGGACCCCUAAACUCUGUUUCUAUAUGUAACUUCUGAGUAAAACCAUAAAUAAAUCAAAACUUUCAACAACGGAUCUCUUGGUUCUGGCAUCGAUGAAGAACGCAGCAAAAUGCGAUAAGUAAUGUGAAUUGCAGAAUUCAGUGAAUCAUCGAAUCUUUGAACGCACAUUGCGCCCGCCAGUAUUCUGGCGGGCAUGCCUGUUCGAGCGUCAUUUCAACCCUCAAGCACAGCUUGGUGUUGGGACUCGCGUUAAUUCGCGUUCCUCAAAUUGAUUGGCGGUCACGUCGAGCUUCCAUAGCGUAGUAGUAAAACCCUCGUUACUGGUAAUCGUCGCGGCCACGCCGUUAAACCCCAACUUCUGAAUGUUGACCUCGGAUCAGGUAGGAAUACCCGCUGAACUUAAGCAUAUCAAUA